GGGAGGAAUGUCAAGCCAUUAUCACUAGAAGUGACAAAGAUUUAGAUGAGAGAAAAAUAGAGAGAAAAGAAGAAAGGUUGAGUGAAAAGGAGAAAGAUGUAAAGGAAGAGGAAGAAAAAGAAGAGAGAAAAAGUGAGGGGGGAGAAUGCGAAAGAAUAGAGAAAAGAAAAAGAAGAGGUUGAGAGAGAAAAGAAAAAAUAUGAGAAAAAUCUUUUGUACCCUAAGGAGUGUUCCAAGGAGGAAAAGAGAGGGAAGAAAAGAGAAUGAGAAAGGAGGAGGGUGAGAGAAAAAAGAAGGAAUCAUAUGAAAAACCCCUUCCUCACCCAAAGAAGUAUCAUAGGAAGGAGAAGGAAAAAUAGUUUGAGGGUUUCACGGAAAUCUUCAAGAAUUUGGAGAUUCAAAUUCCUAUGAUUGGGAGAAUGCAACAGGUUCCUGGUUAUAUUAAAUUCCUGAAAAAAUUCAACAACAAGAAAAAAAAAAUUAUCCAGAAAAAGGAACAAUUGAGGCACAGGGCAAUUGUAGUGGAGCAAGCUAGUGACAUUAAAGAAGCACUUGCUGGGAGGCAACCUAGUUUUCUGAAUUUUUCUUUUUAACUGAUUUUUUUUUUGGUUUUGUGUGUUUGAGUAUAUUUUAGGUUAUAAGCAUUUACUGAGGGAUAUUAGGAGGAUUCGGAAAACAACAUCUACUGAUGGAUGCUGCUAUGAUGA
rnacentral:lncRNA from 1 species